AAGCUCCAUGAUUCAUACAUUUUAAAAGACGAUUGAAUUCUCACUGGACUAGGAACAUGUUUUACAUAUUUACAUAUUGUUAGGGGUGUCAAAAUGGGUCAAAAUUCAUGAGUCAACUCAACUCAACUCAACCCAUGAACCCUAAUGAGUUGAAAAUUUUGACUCAAAUGAGUUGAUGGGUCAAAUGAGUUGAUGAGUCAAUUGGUUUGAUGAGUAAAAUGAGUUGGGUUGUAUUGGUUAAUGGUUUCAAUGGUUUACCCAAUUAACCCAUCAAAUUUUGUAAAAUUAAAUAAAACCAACUAAAAUCUCUAAACCAAUGCCAAUUUAAGUUUAACCAACACAUCUAAACCAAUUUAAUAAAAUUAAUAUUUUUCCAAAUUUCUUAAAUAUACAAGCGAUGAAAUUGAGAAAAAGUAAACUCGUAAUUUUUUCACCAAAAAACAUAAAUCCGUGAUUUUCCCGCUAAAAACGUAAAUCCAUGAUUUUCUCGCAAAAAACAAAAACCCGAGAUUUUCCCGUCAAAAACGUAAACCCGAGAUUUUCCCGCCAAAAACGAAAACCCGUAACUUUACCGCCAAAAUGGUAAAUCCCGUAAUUUUCCCGCCAAAAAUGUAAACUCGUAAUUUUCCCGCCAAAAAACGAAAACCCGUAAUUUUACCGCCAAAAUGGUAAAUCCCGUAAUUUUCCCGCCAAAAAUGUAAACUCGUAAUUUUUCCGCCAAAAAACGAAAACCCGUGAUUUUCCCGCCAAAAACGUAAACCCGUGAUUUUCCCGCCAAAAACGUAAAUCCGUGAUUUUCCCCCCAAAAACGUAAAUCCGUGAUUUUCCCGCCAAAAAUGUAAACCCGAGAUUUUCCCGCAAAAAACUUAAACCCGUAAUUUUCCGCCAUAAACGUAAAUCUGUAAUUUUCCCGCCAAAAUCGUAAACCCGUGAUUUUCCCCCCAAAAACGUAAACCCGUUAUUUUCCCGCCAGAAAUGUAAAUUCGUAAUUUUUCUGCCAAAAACGUAAACCCAUGAUUUUAUCGUCAAAAACGUAAAUCCGUAAAAAGUAGAAUCCGUAAAUAUCAUAAGUUUGAUGAUAAUAAAUUAAUAAUGAUAAUUAUUUAUUAU
rnacentral:sRNA from 1 species